AUUGAACGCUGGCGGCAUGCCUUACACAUGCAAGUCGAACGGCAGCGGGGGUGCUUGCACCUGCCGGCGAGUGGCGAACGGGUGAGUAAUGCAUCGGAACGUACCCAGUCGUGGGGGAUAACGCAGCGAAAGCUGUGCUAAUACCGCAUACGUCCUGAGGGAGAAAGCAGGGGAUCUUCGGACCUUGUGCGAUUGGAGCGGCCGAUGUCAGAUUAGCUAGUUGGUGAGGUAAAAGCUCACCAAGGCGACGAUCUGUAGCUGGUCUGAGAGGAUGAUCAGCCACACUGGAACUGAGACACGGUCCAGACUCCUACGGGAGUCAGCAGUGGGGAAUUUUGGACAAUGGGGGCAACCCUGAUCCAGCCAUGCCGCGUGAGUGAAGAAGGCCUUCGGGUUGUAAAGCUCUUUCGGCCGGGAAGAAAUCGUGCAGGCUAAUACCCUGUAUGGAUGACGGUACCGGAAUAAGAAGCACCGGCUAACUACGUGCCAGCCGCCGCUGUAAAAC
rnacentral:rRNA from 1 species